rnacentral:rRNA from 1 species
UGGGGAAUAUUGGACAAUGGGCGCAAGCCUGAUCCAGCCAUGCCGCGUGAGUGAUGAAGGCCUUAGGGUUGUAAAGCUCUUUUGUCCGGGAAGAUAAUGACUGUACCGGAAGAAUAAGCCCCGGCUAACUUCGUGCCAGCAGCCGCGGUAAUACGAAGGGGGCUAGCGUUGCUCGGAAUCACUGGGCGUAAAGGGCGCGUAGGCGGACUUUUAAGUCGGGGGUGAAAGCCCAGGGCUCAACCCUGGAAUUGCCUUCGAUACUGGGAGUCUUGAGUUCGGAAGAGGUUGGUGGAACUGCGAGUGUAGAGGUGAAAUUCGUAGAUAUUCGCAAGAACACCGGUGGCGAAGGCGGCCAACUGGUCCGAAACUGACGCUGAGGCGCGAAAGCGGGGGGAGCAAGCAGG